rnacentral:sRNA from 1 species
UCCACUGCUGAACAUAGGCCGCUCCAAGC